AAGGCCUGAGCAGAUCAACUUGUUUGAUCUUUGCAGGGUGAAGGAAUAACUACUGGAGCUGCAGGAAUUCAAGGUGACAGAAAAACAACAUUUGGUAGGCAUUUAAAUUUGUCAGCCUUGCUGUGUGCAAGUGAUUUCCUUACUUUACAGGAAGAUUUCAUCCCUGCAUGUAUAGCAAAAGAGGACAAGAAAUUAUUUUCCCAGGUAAUCUUUAUUUUUGGAGGCAUUAAAAGUUUCUCAAUUUGUCUAAGGAUGAAAUGAAGCUUUUCUGAAGUUUAUCACCUAGUAAUUUGGGCAUUGAGUUUACCUGAAGUUUGGUUCCUGGACCCUGACAGUUGCCCUGUCCUGAGCAGGGAUGAACAAGUAACUAGAGGAGAAGAGGGAGAAAAGGGUAGCAAAAACUGGAUAAGUAUUUAGGAUGAAAAUGCAAAAAGUCACAUUUCAAGUAAAGAAAAACUUUAUGGAAAAGGUUCAUUUGAGAAAGUGUUUUAAACAUGCUUCUGAUGAAGGAUUUGAUAAAAGCACAAAUAAAGUAAAAAAAAAUUAAAUAUUUGCUGCAUGGUUAAGAACACUCAUUUUUUAAAUCACAUAAACUUAAGUUUUUGCUUAACAAACUCAAAUAGGAUGGCAGUGCCACUGCACUGUUAAGGCCAGCUUGUUUAAGAAAUAUGAAACUUGGGCUCAAUUCCUCCAUCAGCCUGAGGGCAUUUGAGUCCUGCCCAGGAACUUGCUCAAAUCAUGAUGAAGUAUCUCAUUUUAAAAAUUCGUAUUUUUCCAUGAAACAUUACUUAGCCUUUUUCUCAUUGUGGAACAUAGUGCAGGGAAUCUGUAAUUUUUUUCUGGUUCACAGAAUUUACCAUCUUCUUUUUCCAGGAGAAAUCAGCAUAUUUUAAUAUUAAACAAAAAUCUUGACUUAAUAAUCUCCCUGUGUAUUAAGCUCGUUAAGAAGUAUCAGGCUCUCCAAUCCAUUAAUUUAAUAUGAGUAGUAUCGCCUACAGUAACGCUGCUGAAUUAUUGCCCAAAGAUAACAUUUGGAUAACGAGACCAUUCCUUUACAAAUGACUUCUGAAAAAAAUCACUGCCCUUAUAGAACCUAAUUUAAUUAAUCUUCUAGAUGAAGGCAAUAGUCAGUAGGAAGAAUUUGAUGUUUAGUCCCACUCUUAUGAAUAUUAAUAUUUAAUAAAAUAAUUCUUUGGUUCAUGAGUACUCUAAAUGAGCAUUCAGAGCUCCAGCCCGAAAAGUUACCAGUAGUUAUUUUUGUUCCUCUGUUCUUGUAAACAAAGACUCUCGCUUUCCUGCAUUUGAUUUACACAAAAGUUUAACAACAGAAAUGUGGUGGAACUCUUGUUUAAGGGAGAAAAGCAGUAAUGGGUGUGGACCGUGCCUGCCCUGAGCUGUCCUUGGAGAACUCUACCGUGUGUCUGCAUGUAUGAUUUGAGAAUUAACAUUAACAGCACCUGACAUUUUAAAUUGUAUAAUUAUGCUAAGAUACAUAAAUAGAAGUACAGUUUUUAGGUUCUUGUGCGAAAAGAAUCUGAUUUCACUCUAAAAAUGAUGUAAGAAGCCUUUUUCUUUAAAAGACCAGAAUGAACCAACCUUUAUCUUUUCGCACCUGCUGAAUUAACACAAGCAAAUCAUUAAAUCUGUCUCCUGCAUUUCACCCCUUCAGGGGCUCCCUUAUGACACACUGAAUUUCUAAAUCUCAUGGUAUUCAGCAUUAGGCAGCUUCAGCUCCCAUGGGGGGCUGUACACUGAAGCUGGACUCAGCAUCUGCCACACAAACAAUUUGCCGUUUCUGUGCAAGAUUUACACCUUGGGGUCCAGCAAGAAUUACAGGAAAUAUAUUCGCAAGCAGUGUGGUGUUUGUGCUCUCUUAAUUUUUGAAAAAAAAUUAAUUAAUUCUGCUCAAAUCACAUUAAUAAAUACCAGAAAGAAAUGGGGCAUUCAUGUGACCCUCAUAAAGGGCAAUAUCCCUCAAGCAAGAUUUCAUUAGCUUUUUGAGACUUAAUUCAGUGUUUCCUGGAAAUGUAGAGAGAUCAAGUAUUCAUUGACCAGCAUUUUCCUCCUUUCACUAGUAAAGUGCUUUGUAAAAUAAAUUAAAAUUGAAACAGUUAUUUUGCUUGAAAGUGCCCUCAAAAGGCAUAAAGAUAUCUAAAGCUGGAUCUGAAAUGGUUCUUGGAAGGAAAGGGAAAAAAAGCUGAGAGAGUUUGCACUCAAAUCUAAAUGUUCACUGCAGUUUUAUCUUCUCUGUGCCAUUCUCAAAGAGCAGCUUUUACUCAAAAUUGCACAUUUUCCUUCAAGAGGGAUGUGCUUUGUUGUGCUUUGGUUGUGCAAGAGUUCUACAGGUAACUGUGAGUCUGCUGUGGGCUGGAUCUCCACCUGCUUCCAGGUGCUGUGGCGUUUCAGGAUAUUUGGCUGAGUAUUUUUAUCUUCUGUAAUAAUUCAGGUAAGUCAUGUUUUAGACAAAUUUCUGUUCUUUAGACUUCGUUGUUGCAGUGUGGAUGAGCAAAGGGAAUUCACUUGCUCACUUUGCUAAUUUGUGACAGCAAAUUGAUACCAAAGGCUCUACAAUCACUCCCUUGGUAACACUGGAGUAGGAAUAAAGGGGGGAAGUGUUACUGGGCUAGUAUGACAGAUACAGCACUGAACAACCAUUCCUAACCCUCUGGAGAUAAUUACUUCAAGCUCAAUAAAGUACAUGUCCUCUUCACUGUUGCAGCAAUAUCUCAGAUGAUUUUGUGUUUUGUUAUGGAUUUAAUUCCACCCCCCCAUCACCCCCCCAGAAAUGCUGUAUAAUAUUGUGGCUACAUAUAGAAUAAUAGGAUAUUUUUAGAGUAAAAUGUAUGUUGAUCUGCUUCGUUUAAACAAUUGAUUAUUGGAGGAGGCAAUGCCAUUUUUUGCAGUACCCUGUUUAUGUAUGAGAAUUCUCUGAAGCUCGGCAAGUUAGUAAUUCGUGCUAGCAAGCCUGUAACCGAGCUCUAACAUUUCUAGAAGGAUGUAAGUUUAAAUAUUGCGUCUUCUAGAAACACUUCUGCUCUUGUUACCAUGACUGAGCUAGAUGCAGCAUGUGAAGGCAAGAUGGAGAAAGGGAGAGUCUGAAUCUGAAUUUCUGAGAUAAUGUAGGAGUGAAAAUCAGUCCUAUCUCUGUUUUCAAGAUGGUGUAUCCUGUUACGCUGUCGUAUCAGAGAAUGUUUGUACCAAAGUGUGGUUUUCAUUCCUCGGUUAUCUAUUUCAGGUACUGUGAAGAAUUCCCCCAAGCCUGAUGAGGCCUUUGACAUAAAUCUGCUGAUGCUGAGAACUGUCCUUGCUAAGGAAGUAGUCCUGUGAACCAUUGAUCUGUAUGCAGAUUUCAAGGUCACUGUUCUUUGUGCAAAAGUCAAGCAAAAGAAGAAAUCAGGAGGUCUCUGACACUACCAGCGCAGAAAAUACUUUGACACAAGUGACUUGGCUUACAGACAACUGUUUAGAAAUGCCAAGAAGAAGUGCUCACCAGAUGUGGCAGCUACAAACUGGAUGAAGAACUCUGUCAGUGGAGGGAAUGAGAAAAGAGGAACCCCGGCCUGGAGGAUUGGGUGGCUCAAGGGGCCAAGCAGAGCUUUCCACUUGAUCCCAGCUCUGCUGGAAGCCGUCGCUGCCUCAGGCUGGCAGAGCCGUGACUCCAGGGAGGUUCUCAGCAUGAGGAGUAGAGGCUGAAAAGCAGAAGGGCUGAGGAGAGGAUACCUGGAGCACUGUGCAGCUGGGAAAGACAAGGAAAGGACAAUCCUGCGGAUUCUGGCUCACACACACUCCCAGGUCUACAACAUCAGAUGACUCUUAGCAGAUGCAAGAUGCUUCUGGAAGCCGAACAGUGGUUGUGUUUGAUUCAUCAUACCCUUUGGACCACCCUGUUUGUCCAUCACGCUUCUGUGCCACGCUGCACUGCAGUGGUGUUCUCAUCCAGGAGAGCCUGGCCAUGGACAACAGGAUUAACAAGCUUUGAAGAGCCUGAUCCAGGGGACACAGGGAGCCUUCAGGUCUCCGUUACCUUCCAGUUCCCCGCUGCCCCAGUUCAGCUGCCUCCAACAAGAGCUUGGGAAGUAUGAAGCAUUCCAGACACCACUGGGUUACAGACUGCCCACACCCGGAACUACAGUAUAACCCCAGCUUCCCAAAGUCCCGGUUUAAUGCAAGUCUAGGAAAGGCACCACCAACAGACAGAGGCGAGAAUGAUGAAGUGGUCCGCAGGAACUGUCCCUGCUCCCCGUGGGUACUUCUGCACCAGCAAACUCCAGAGGGCCCCUGAGUCCAGAGAUCUCAAGUGCAACCAGCUCUUUGUAAGGCAUGGACGCUUCCUGGAGCUUCCUCCCACGUGGAACCUUCCCAGACUUACAGUUGGAGGGAGGUGUUCUGCAUUCCCUGGCCUCGGGGGAUCCCCACGAGCUCACCCCAGCACUGACCACGGUAGGAGCACUUGGGGACUGCCCUACACCCUGUGCCCUUCAGGACCCUCUGUAUGAGGCUGGGGCUCUGUGCUGCAGGCAUUGGAGGACUGCAAUGUCUGCACAUAUUGGAGAAGUUCAGUGCCCAGUUCUGCAGUAUUGCCUUGGAAAUGCCUCCUUUUGACUUUUGUUCCUUGUUUCUUGGGGAGCCUAUCAAGAGAGUGGAUUUAACUUGUGAUUUCAAUAUCCAGUCUAAAGUGAUACUGAGAGCGCUCGAUGGAACGGGGAUGAAAUCAGGGAGUGCUGGAGGCUCAGAGGAGGCCACAAAUCUCCGGCUGACUGGCGGGAGCCUUUCGGAGCCAUCCCAGCUGACCUUAGCGGGUGUUAUUUAACCUGGAGGCUGCUGUGCCUUUAAUAUAUCACACUUGAUAUAUUGUUGAACUCCUCCAUAGUUCAUUAGCAUAGCACAGCUCCCAGAUGGAUUGGGAUGAGCUUGCUGAGUCAGCUGACAGAAGGAAGAGAGGAAUCAUAUCUGGCAGCAGCACAGAGUUAUUUUGGCUUAAGGUGGGAAUGACCUAACAUUUGUCAUCUGUUGUUUAUUCUCUUGUCCUCUGCUGUUCGAGGAGAUCCAGUUGGGGCUGGCUGGAUUGGAGCUUUUAUUGUCAGUGUCACUGUGUAUUUAUGGAUUUGUUUUGCACUUUGUGGGGAAGGUGCAGAGGUUUAUGCAGUGAUCCUUGGAGAUGUUGUGUCUUCAGCGAGGAAGGUUUUUUCACAGGAGUACGUGCCCAGGUGCUCUGCAGCACACAGACUGCUCAUGGUCAUGAGACCGAGUUCAGGUCUUGGGAUGAACAUCACUGUUUUACUGGUCAUGGAACAUGGACCAAGUCAAGACAGGCCAAUAACUACAUACAGGCACCUCAGGGUGAUAUUUAAGGAUGGAAUUGGUUUUGCAGAUAUUCUGUGGGAAACAGGUCACUCCUCAAUACCAAACUGACAAAGGAUUGCUUCAGACCAUAAGGUAGGAGUGAAACUCCUGUUGAAGCAGCAGUAAUGGUUUUGGUUGACAGUACAAAACAAGAUAAAUACCACAUUAACUUUUGGGUCACUGCCUGUGUAGUCCCUGUCAGGACUGUAACAUUUAUGCAUACUGCACCAUCGAGGAUCAUAUGGCUUUUUUUUUUUUUGCUUUUUUUCCUUAACCUUGCUGUUCAAGAUAAAUGUAGUGAAAUGGGAUAGCAUUUUGAUUGCUGUAAUCAGACCUACCACACUUAAAUGUUCUGAAGUGUUUUUCAUCUCCUAAUUUUCAGCUAUCAGUAGCAUUUAUGACCCACUUUGCUUCCUCUUGAAAUCGCAGCUUCUGAAACACAGCACCAUAAGAGGCUGUCAGCCGCCUUUCCAACUCUGAACUCCUGUUGCUCAGCACCUCAAUAAUCCCAGGAAGCUCUUUUGGAUCAUGACUGCUCCUUGUUCUUUCCUGAUGAUGCUAAAAUUUCAAGGGUAACGUUAAAAAAAGCCCUAGAAAAUUAUUGGGCUGAUUCCCUCCUUAGUUUAUUGGGCUCUAACUACUAACUGCCUUUGAAAAACCUAGCCUAAACUAUUAAUUUUUUAAAAUCUCCUCCUUUAUUUUAUCAACAAAUUUAAUUAAACUGACCACAAAAGAGCCCAAAAAUAUGAGUACAAAAGAUACUGUAUUUUUUGACAGAUAUGAAUGUGCUAAUUAGCCUUCAAUUCAGCCAUGUUAAAAAAAUGAAGUCUUUAGUACACAUCUCUACUGCUUUUUAUUAAAAGUAAAGAAUUAGAAAAGUACCACAUGUCAAAGAGUAAAUAAUAAAGCUUUCAGCAUAUUGAGACAAUAUUGGUAAAUCUUACUGAUAUGCUGUUUAUAAAAAAAAAUACAGUGCUUAAAUUCUAAUGAGAUUCUGCACUGUUGACUCUUCCUCCAGUUCUGAGAACAAGGCAAUUUAUACUCUUUCCUAGAGCAAUUUAAAUUGUUUCUUUUAUGUUGUAUGGUUUUGCACUAAUGUUUUUUUUCAAGUUCUGCUUUUGUGGGCCUCCUUUCUCCUUGCUUCUUAUUGAAGUGCUGAGGAUCAUUUGAGUCAAAUCCAUUAACUUUCCCAUGGUUUUCAAUCAAGAGCUUUGCAAAAUGCCCAGCUCCACAAUGGCUUUAAUGGAAAAUAUAGAUUGCUUCAUAUUUGAUUUAGACCUCACCCCUGUGCUUGUUUGCUUUUUUCUCCCUCAGGUUAUCAAGCUUCACAUGAUUUUUCUCAGCCUUUUCUUAGCAUAAGCUAAGUUGUAAGUUGGACAAUUGCUCUGCCUCUAAUUAUUUUUGCACUACACUGAAAGUCAUUAAUGUUAUUUCUGGUGAUUGCAGCUGAUAUCCUGAGAAUGAAAACAUUCAGUGGGAAAUCCAGGAUCUGCUGGAGUUAAGGAAAACUUCCCCUUGAGUGAACACUUUUUCCUACCCAUCUGGGCAUGCAGGUCUAAAUAUAAUUAAUAAUUAGAUCCUGGUUUGUCUCCAGCCCAUCUUUAUUAGAAAUAUUGAUAACCUUGAAUGGAAAUAGUAACCGUAGUUACACUGUGAGAGUAUACAGUGUAUGAGCAAGGGGCAGGAUGGUUUGGAAGGGUAAGGUGGGCUUUUCCUGCAGAAGAGGCAGUUUCUGUUUGUGUCUCUUGCAGGUGUUUCCCUGCUGGACAGACGGAUACACAGGAUGAAGAGGCAGGGAAGGGGCUGUGUAGCCAUGAUUGUUCUCCUGAAGCGAUUUUGUUUUUCUUGCGGGCUGCAGGUGGAAGGAAGCGGUGCUCUUUUCCAAUCACCUAAAAGCAUCUGGAAAAGUGAAGAGCUUCACCUCUGCUGGCAUGUUGAAGACCUUCAAAGGCUCCAGCUUGUAUUUGCCUUCUGCAGACUGCUGCUGGAAUUUUAGGACGUUAUAUAUCAGUGUAUCUAUCACUGAGCCAGGAGGAGUGAUGAGGGUGCCUGGAAUACUCGUGUUGCUGCGGGGACAAGGACACAGAAGGGGCUCUCUCAUUCCCACAAGGAAGCUCUCAGAAUGGUGAGGCUGACGAGUGAUAUUCCACAUGGACUUGACUGCUUUGUGGCUCACCUUGGGCUUCUUAGCUCUCCACAGGAGAUCCAUCACCUCUUCUGCAGUGAGACACCUAAUUGGGGCAACACUCGAGACCUGCCAAAGGAAAGCCUUGCAUCUGCCAAUAACCUGUGAAAAGUGCUUCCUCAUUUCUGUGAUACCUACCAAGAAUGGGAGAUUUAGCGGGAGUUUCUAAGUUCCUCAGACAUUUAGAGAAGACCCCAAGCCCUUUCUACGAUGGAUGAAUUCCCAAGGACGAUGUGUCACCACUUGAAGACCGAUCUCACAAAGGACAGAUCAAUUCUGAAAUCUGUCUUUUCAGAAACAAGCUGACACUCUGGGCACCAAAACAGAUCAGAGGAACUGCAACAAAAAGCAGUGUUCUGCCAAAGCUGCAGGCAGGAGUCUGUCAGGGAGAAUGAUGGAGCAAGAAGAGUGGUGUUCUAACAGGCAAAGGGGGAAGAAAGAAAGAGUGAAAAGUGUAAGAAACUGGAAAGAGACUUCAAGGGGCACAACGCUGUUCAGUGGGGCAGAAACUGAGAAGCAAGUGAACUACAGUGCAGGGUGAUUUGCAUUUUCCAAGACAAUUUGUAAAAGGUGAAAAGCUGUAGAUGAAAUGCUUUGAUUUGCCUUUAUCGCACUCUGCCUGUGCACCUGUGUCAUUCAUUUCAUGUAAUAACCUCUGCUAAACAGUCAGAGGCUGCAGCAUAAUUGUGUUGACCUUAAAUUAAAGCAAAAAGCUGCAAUUCUGGAAUUUGAAGCUUGUAGUACCUUGCUGGCUAAAGGGCAAAAUAAAGAAGUAAAGAUGAAUGACAACUUUUCACGUCACGUGAAAAAUCAAGGCUUAUGCACCAGAGAACUUCACAACAAUUGAUUCGUAUCCUUUCAGCCUAUGUCUCAAUCCUAAAAUUGCAUUAAAAUUAAACUCUCUGUUUCUAAUUCUCAUCCAGUGGAGCUUAGAUGAACCUCAGAUUUUAGAUGGGGGUUAUGUUAUGGGAAUUGUUUUCUUUGCAACAUAAAGCACCAAGAAUGGGAAACAGUAGCAUUUUGGGGGGAUUCUUUUUGCUUUCUUUCCUUUUUAUUCCUUUCUAUCCCACACAGCAGAAAUGCAAUCUAAUUGAGUAGCAGGAAGGCAACCUACAUUAAGUUAACAAGUGAAGAAAAAAAGUCAAUCUUUCUGGCUUUGAAGGAAUUUAUACCAGGAGAAAAACUGUGCCUGCAAUACAAAGCCAAAAGAUAUCAACUAUCCUGAGAGAAGUUUUCACAACAAAGAACAUAAACUAGCAAAAAAAAAAAGGCAUUGCUGUGGUCGGUGUCCCUGAGAUGAGAAACCGAAAGCCGCGAGUGUAAAGCAGCUAUGAGAUGGUUGUCAGUGGAAUGUCAGCUUCCAGUAGAACAGGAAUAACUCAGAAGUCUCAGGACGAGUCUCUGCUUCCUCGCACACUGUACAGUGUUUUAAUCAAAGCCCGGAAUGAGCAGUUUCCAGCCAGCCACAAAAUGCCACGUCAGGCCCUGCAGAAAGAGGAUUGCAGCAGAAAUGGGGCUUCCCCAGAUCUAUCUAAGGUCUACAACUGCUGCUAGACAGGGCUCAGCUUGAGUCAUUUUCUUAGUUCCUUCCUUUGCCCUUUCACCCCAAAUGUGUUUAUCUUGUAUUUUGCUUCUGCAUGCUUCUGUAAAUGCUCAGAGGAUCCAUCUUGGAAGCACUUCCAGGGCGGAAAUGCUCUGACCUUUAUGUAUUGACAGAUGAGAUGCCUAUUCUCAUGUUCUAUAUUAUUGACAAUAAUAGCAGUUCUUCCAUUUCUUUUGUGAAUAGUUUAAUUUUUACAAUUUGUAUGACUUCUUUAUACAGUUACCCUCCUAUAAAAUGUACUAUGUAUGUCAGUUCUCUUAUUCCAGGGAUGGAAAUGUGGUACCACAUACUGAUAAACACACGAUACCAUUUGAACCAGGAUCUGCACCGUCACUCAGCAGAAAUGAGGAAGGCACAGUGCUCUGCAGCACGAGGCCGCUGACUUACCCACAGAGGCAGCACCGCCCGCACGGCGUGACUGGUGAGGCAGCUCCUGUCUCCUGGGCCCAGAGGUAAUUCCUUUUCCAGGUCUGCUCUGUGCUGGACCUUGCCUUUGCAGAUGUUGUGGCUGGCGCCAGAUGAUGCGCAGCAGCUUUGUAACGGGGAGUAUCCUCUCCUGGGGAUUGCACAGCCCUACCGAAGUCACGUCAAGGAGCACUUUGAUGAAAUGGAGAGCUGAACUGCAGGGGAUGGAGGUUUAAGUGACAGUGGGGAAGAUGUGGUCCAGAUGCUGCAUGUGUCUGCAGAGGAAAGGAGAGCUGGGACCAAGGACCAGGCAAAGAGUGGUUUCUCCAGUGGAGAGCCGGCACAGAGGCGUGUGCCUGUGUGCAACUGGGAAGACUGGGAGCCGUUCUAUGGCAGGGGCUCAUUUCCCACACCCUGCCCCACUCUCUGCUCCCAAAGGUCACCGGGAGCUCACCCAAGGCACAGGGCAGGAGGGCCCAGCAGGGCUGCCCCACCUGGGCUGAGGGGCAGGAGGGGCUUCUGCAGGACUUUUGUCUUGGUCUGAUUCCAGCAACUCGGACUGGCUCCUCCUGCAUCCAGCGGGCUUGGGGGGCAGGGGGGGGAUUUGGUUGGGGGUUUUUGUUUAUUGGUUUGGUUUUUUAUUUAUUUAGACAGUGCUCUGAGGGUCAGUUUUGCUGCUUCAUCAGCUUUACCCCCUGCCCAGCUGCCUCCUGGGUGUGUGGAUAGGUUCAAUCUGCAUUUUGCUUCUUUUGCAUUGCUACUUUAUAUUGUAGGCUCUUCAUUUUUUCUCUUCCUUCUCCUUUUUUCCUUUUCCUUCCCUUUCUUUCCCCUUCUUUUUCAAAUAU